GCUCCUCACCUGGCACUCGCCACCCGUCACCCGCCCAGCCCCUCAAGGCUGCGGUCUCCUCAGGCUCCCACCUGGCGCUCGCCACCCGUCGCCCGCCUAGCCCCUCAAGGCUGCGGUCUCCUCAGGCUCCCACCUGGCACUCGCCACCCGUCGCCCGCCCAGCCCCUCACGGCUACCGCCUCCUCAGACUCCUCUCCCAGAACUCGCCACCCGUCACCCGCCCUGCCCGUCAAGGCUGCGGUCUCCUCAGGCUCCUCACCGGGCACUCGCCACCCGUCGCCCGCCCAGCCCCUCACGGCCGCCGCUGUCUCCCCUCAAAGUUUCCUCAGAGCAGACACCUUCGCGAAGAGCUGCCCAGGGAGAGGGGUUUCUGAAGCUGUGUCUUGGAGUGGUUCUUCUUACAGCACCCUCCACGGAGUCCGCACCUAAUCCGAGCAGAGACUAGAUUUUCCAAAUUAAGGGGAGAACAGGUGGCGGCGGCGGGGUUAUUACCGAGAGAGAAAGAGAGAGAGGGAGAGGGGAAUGGCCAGAACUGUGAAUAUGCGCUUCUUUCCUGCUUGAAGCCGGGGAAUUGACUGACGGGCCUGUGGGGUUGAGGAGGAAAAUUAAAUAGCCAAGUUGACCAAGGAGGGACUGGAAGGCUUCCGGAUGCCGGGGAGGUUGUCCCCGUCUCCGUUUCCACAGGCGUGAAGCUUUGGAGGCGCCGCCAGUGUGAGGGCUUUUGAGCCGCCACCCCUCUCUGGGUCCCUCUGGAAGGAAAAGCCGGCCGAGCUGAGGCGAGGGGGUCAAGGAAAAGCCACUGGACUUGUGUGCGUCGCAUCGUUAGCUUUGGAUUUUAAGGACAGGAAAGAGAAUUGCCCGCGUCUCAAAGAGAAUCCGUUGGAGAAUGUUUCAAGAUGUAGAAGCCUUACAUGUGAAGUACCCCAAAUGAAGUUGGAACAUCCGUGUUGACAUUGCUUUGUGUUGUGGACUUGAAGACUGCCACUGCAAAGCUGCAUCAUGAGCUGCUUGGGCUUCUAAAGUGUCUGAUGGAUUUUUAAUCAUAUAAGCCUUGAAACUGCGUAAUGAAAAGAGGCUUGGAGCAGAACACUGAAAGUGGCCACCACCAGCAUGAGGACACCAACGAGUCAAACU